AUUGAACGCUGGCGGCAGGCCUAACACAUGCAAGUCGAGCGGAUGAAGGGAGCUUGCUCCUGGAUUCAGCGGCGGACGGGUGAGUAAUGCCUAGGAAUCUGCCUGGUAGUGGGGGAUAACGUCCGGAAACGGGCGCUAAUACCGCAUACGUCCUGAGGGAGAAAGUGGGGGAUCUUCGGACCUCACGCUAUCAGAUGAGCCUAGGUCGGAUUAGCUAGUUGGUGGGGUAAAGGCCUACCAAGGCGACGAUCCGUAACUGGUCUGAGAGGAUGAUCAGUCACAUUGGAACUGGGACACGGUCCAGACUCCUACGGGAGGCAGCAGUGGGGAAUAUAGGACAAUGGGCGAAAGCCUGAUCCAGCCAUGCCGCGUGUGUGAAGAAGGUCUUCGGAUUGUAAAGAACUUUAAGUUGGGGGGAAGGGCAGUAAGUUAAUACCUUGCUGUUUUGACGUUACCAACAGAAUAAGCACCGGCUAACUUCGUG
rnacentral:rRNA from 1 species